GUUUACUGUGUCACCAUACACUAAUAGUAGGCUAUGACCAUUUUAAGGGCAGGAAACAGUGCCUGGCAUGGUUGUUGACAAUGUUGGAUUUAUUGACUACCCUUGUCAGAAUGCUUUUUCAUUGUUUUUGCUCCAUUUGACAGCCACCUCCUUUGUCUGCCUUUACGGAAAUAUCAUUGCUAUUUGGUGAUAUUGAUUCCUUUUCUCUAUUCAUAGAUCCUUUGUCAUGAGUGUAUCAAUUUUCUAUAUUCACAAAUGUUAAUGUCCACAAAAAUAUCAUGGUGAUUGGCCAAUUUAAGGCAUGAAAGUUGGAGCAUGCAUGCCACAAUUGAGAGUCAUUAUUUUAGUCGUUUACCAUUAUAUUCAUGGUGGUCUAU
rnacentral:misc_RNA from 1 species